CGUUGAAUAUUUUCUGGGAGCCUUAUGAUGAGACUGAAGUACAUCAUGUUCACUUGCACUUUGCAGAAGUUGAAAAGCUCCAACCCAAUCAGUCUAGACAGUUCAACAUAACUACUAACGGAGAGCUGUGUUAUGGGACACUUGCUCCUGAUUAUUUGUCCACAACGACAAUAUUCUGUACUGCUGAAUCCCUGAGUGGACCAGGAGUAGAAAAUAAUUUUUCAAUUAUUAAGACUGGAAACUCUACCCUUCCACCCAUCCUCAAUGCCUACGAGAUUUAUGAAGUGAAAGAAUUCUUAAUAUCAGAUACCAACCAAGACGAUGGUGAGUCAUAUUGAUUCCUUACACAAGCUUAAAGUCCUUGCUAUUGGUUUAGUGCCUCACCUAAUAUGUGAGUUUUAUUAAGAUGCUCCGUUUGCUUGUGAAAAUAUUAGUUGAGGCAAUCACAAACAUCAAGUGAACCUAUAAUAUUGAAAAGAACAGGCAAGGAGAUCCUUGCAACCCUCAAGUUUACUCAUGGGAUGGUCUAAACUGUAGCUAUCAUGGAACUGAUCCCCCAAGAAUUAUAUCCUUGAACUUGUCUUCCAGUGGAUUAGAAGGGUAGAUUUCUCCUUCUCUAUCAAAUCUAACAAUGAUACAGACAUUGGAUUUAUCAAACAACAACUUAAGAGGAUCAAUUCCAGAAAUUUUGUCACAACUGCCGACAUUAAAUGUCUUGUAAGUUAUUUUGUUAUAUAUGUGUAUGUGUGUGUGUAUUUUGUUAUUGUCUUAUAGCUUAUUUACGCAUAUGAAAUUCAAUACGAGUCUUGCACCAUGUAACUUAAAUUGUGUCACUUUAACUUCCUAAAACUCUACUUGUUUUUCACUUUA